UACGUAGGGUGCAAGCGUUGUUCGGAAUUAUUGGGCGUAAAGGGAGUGUAGGCUGUGAGGUAAGUCUUCUGUGAAAUCUACGGGCUUAGCCUGUAACGUGCAGAGGAAACUGCUUCGCUUGAGUGUCGGAGAGGAUAGGGGAAUACCCGGUGUAGAGGUGAAAUUCGUAGAGAUCGGGUGGAACACCAGUGGCGAAGGCGCCUAUCUGGCUGACAACUGACGCUGAGACUCGAAAGCAUGGGGAGCAAACAGG
rnacentral:rRNA from 1 species